rnacentral:lncRNA from 1 species
UCACCUUGCAGCUUCUCCAAAUGUAUUUGUUGAUGAUCGGAGGAUCUUCAUUCGACAAUACGGAUCAUGUUGCCGAAAUUCCGACGACGAUGAUUACAAGAAAGAGAAAGAGGAACAUGCUUGUUUUAGCCAUUUUCAUUUUUUCUUCUUUUUCGAUUGUGCAGUUUUAUAGAAACGGAUACCUUUUAUACAUUUCCACAAUCCUAUAUUUACCUACGAGAAUAUAUGAGUUAAAUAUACCCAAUUAAUUUAGAGUAAAAAAUAACCAUCUACAAUUUUUUUGAUCAUUUUACCCUUAUAAUUAAAUCGAUUUUUCGAAUAUACCAUUGUAAUAAAAUUAAGAAAUAACGGACAGAAAUUUUAGAGCAAAAUUAUUAUUAGUUGUUGUCGAGGUUGCGGAGAUGACGACAGUCGGAUUACGUGAAAAAAUAGCCGGAGAUGGCCGGACGCAAUCGUUGGAAGGGUUUUGGGGAAGAACUUAGGUUUAGAAUUAACAUGCAGUACUUAUCGUUACUACCGUUAAUACAAAAACGUGUUAUCUGAAAUUUAACUUUCAUUAAACUCAAUUAAUUAAAUCCAUUAUAUAUAGAGUUUAUGUAUAAUAAUACAAUUACAACAAUUACUAAACUAACUAAUAUUUUUGGACUCGGCCCAUACGACAGAAUUAGCCAAUUCCUUUUAUUGAAACAUUUACAGACGUAACCUACGACUUCAUAAAAACAUUUAUAUGUGUCUUGGUUAAUUUAUCUGCACAGUGAAACUUAAUAGGAAAUUAGCAUAAAAGAACAUACCUGUGGAUUUACUUAAUAAAUCUUUGAGAAGCAGUAGCUCUUCAUUGUUCAAAUUUGGCACAUUUGUUGAGAUGUUUGCUUGAUUGACAGUGCCACUAGUCCUUUUGUAGUUUUUUUUUUUUUUUUUUUUUUUUUUUUUUGGGAAACCUACUAUGUGAAAGCAAUUCUCCUUAAUGUAUCCAAAAAAUUUGCAAUUAUCACAAUAUAUGCUACUAUCUAACUUCUUUCCAUUUUUAUCAUAAAUUCCCUUUUUCUUAGUUCUUCUUUCUUCCCAAUAUAAUUUUCUUUCUUUUCAGUAGAGGGUAUCUUUUUCUUCUUGUUUACUGAUUUUAUGGAUUUCUUUCUUGAAGCCCUAAAAAACCUGAUAUUACCUUCGGAACUGGAAGAAUUUGAGGACGUGUAUUGCCUAUAAGUCUUUCUUGAAGAAAUUUCCAAAUCUUCAGAAUCUUUAGAGUGUUGCAUUGCGGAAUUGAAGUCCAGGUUGACAUCAUUAUCUCUGAUACCAUAUUAUCAGGUGUUGUCGAGGCUGCGGAGACGACGACAGUCAGAUUGCGUGAAGAAAUCGUCGGAGAUGGCCGGAUGCAAUCGUUGGAAGGGUUUUGGGAAAAAACUUAGGUUCAGAAUGAACAGUAUUUAUCGUUACUACCGUUAAUACAAAAACGUGUUAUCUGAAAUUUAACUUUCAUUAAACUCAAUUACUUAAAUCCAUUGUAUACAUAGUUUAUUUAUAAUAAUAAUACAAUUACUAAACUAACUAAUAUUCCUGGACUCGACCCAUACCACCGAAUUAGCCCAAUUCCUUUUAUUGAAACAUUUGCAGACGUAACCUUCGACUUCAUAGAAACCUUUAUAUGUGUCUUGGUUAAUGAUCAAGGUAACUAAUUACUCGAUUCAAGAGAUUUAACAAGAGAAAUGGCGUUACUUGUGUAACUCAUUGUGGUAUUCAUCCUUGAGAACACGAAGGUCUUGAUGUGUUUCCCAAGAACGCUCAAAUCAGGAGGAGUGUCGUCAUUAGAGAAUUCAACCAAACAUGUUCCCUGAUCUGUUACUGCUGUGCGAACCCACGACACGGCGUUGUACAAUAUGCGAUGCCUUCUCCCCCUCCUAGCAAUCCACCAAUGCUUCGACCUCCUUGUCUGAUUCAUCUAACAUAUCCAAAGCUAAUUCGACCAUUUCGAUGCAAACAUCCAUGAUAGCUGCCGUCAUUGGUUCGACAACAGACGUGUUUCUAGCUAUCGUGUUCUUUAUGGCAAGGAAGUUGUUGUUGACUUGAAUGAGGCGGUCACGAGUGAUAUUAAUAGCAGCGAUGGCGAGAUGGAUCGGAUCUUCAUCGAUGUAUGUGGCAUAUGAGACAAGGGAACCAUAGCAGAUGCGUUGAUACAUUGUCAUCUUGCAACUUCUCCAAAUGUAUUUGUUGAUGAUCGGAGGAUCUUCAUUCGAUAAUAUGGAUCCUGUUGCCGAAAUCCCGACGACGAUGAUUACAAGAAACAUGCUUGUUUUAGCCAUUUUAAUUUCUCCUUCUUCUCUUUCUUUUUCGAUUGUGCAGAUUGAUAGAAACUGUUAGCUUUUAUACAUUUCCACAAUCCUAUAUUUACCUACGAGAAUAUAGGAGUUAAAUGUAACCAAUUAAUUUGGAGUAAAAAAUAACAACCUACAAUUUUUUUG